rnacentral:rRNA from 1 species
CUACGCACUCCUACGGGAGGCAGCAGUGGGGAAUAUUGCACAAUCGGGCGCAAGCCUGAUGCAGCCAUGCCGCGUGUAUGAAGAAGGCCUUCGGGUUGUAAAGUACUUUCAGCAGUGAGGAAGGUGGGUAUGUUAAUAGCAUAUUCAUUUGACGUUAGCUGCAGAAGAAGCACCGGCUAACUCCGUGCCAGCAGCCGCGGUAAUACGGAGGGUGCGAGCGUUAAUCGGAAUUACUGGGCGUAAAGCGCAUGCAGGUGGUUUGUUAAGUCAGAUGUGAAAGCCCGGGGCUCAACCUCGGAAUUGCAUUUGAAACUGGCAAACUAGAGUACUGUAGAGGGGGUAGAAUUUCAGGUGUAGCGGUGAAAUGCGUAGAGAUCUGAAGGAAUACCGGUGGCGAAGGCGGCCCCCUGGACAGAUACUGACACUCAGAUGCGAAAGCGUGGGGAGCAAACAGGAUUAGAUACCCUGGUAG